AUUUGGCUGUUUAUCUACAUCCUAUCACAGCUCGCACACGCACACUGCACCACGACAUUGCACCACGUAACACACACAUUACAAAACCAACAGUUCUUUUAAGAACUCCUGUCUGUCUGUCUGUCUGUCUGUCUGUCUGUCUGUCUGUCUGUCCGUCCGUGUCCUGAUUUUCUCUGGUCAGGUAGGUUCACUGCAAUGCUUAAGGUUUAUAAAAACAGUAACUAAUGCGCUAUAUUUGUGUGUGUUUCUACCCUCGAGUAUGUCUGAGAGAAAAAAAAGAAGGUGUCCCACCGCGGUACCCCCCGCUACAUGGAGCCCAACAUCCUGGGCUGUAGGCCUCUCAUGCUCUCCAAGCUCAGGCUGAUAUACUUCCUCUUCCUGAGGCUAUCCCUGAAGACGUCAAUGUGGUAAAAAAGAUCAAAAUACACAUUAGUAUUCUUUUGGAUGGUGAUACACCAAACAUUAAUAACAUCACCAACAGUGAACUGUUCCACUGUCCCUUCUGUAAAUACGUGGGUGCAAAAUAUAAGGUUGACAACCAUGUAAAAGGCCAUUCGUCAGUGAAACACAAAGGUGCUUAUCUAAAAUAUUACACAAAUGAAUUAAUUUGUAUUUUACUAUAAGUAUGAAUCUUACUUCCUUUAUUCCUCCCUUAAAGAGUUCACAAUAAUCAAGUGUGGAUUAAGUUGUCGGACGGCUACACAUUUCCAUUGUUGCUAUUGUGCAGCGACACUUAGAAAUCGAUUGCAAUUGGUAAGGCACCUACAAAUACACCAGGAGGAGGUGCAAGCUGCAGCCCCUUCAUAGCACUUUGUGGCCUCCGCUCAGCUCCCUGUGGCCCCCACUCAGCUCCCUGUGGCCCCCACUCAGCUCCCUGUGGCCCCCUCUCAGCUCCCUGUGGCCCCCACUCAGCUCCCAUUGGCUCCUGCAGAAUGUUCCACGGCCACUAAAGCAUCAAGAAAACAUGCUGCAAAUUAGAGAUGGUGGUGUCUCGCUCUCCUGCAGAACUUCCCUUAGCCGUCUGAAGAAGACAGAUUGCAGGACAGAAAACGGCGACGAGUGCAAGGAGGGCUACAGACGCUGGGAAAUUGACAGAACUGGAAACAGGGAACAGGGUUGCUUGUUAUGGGCCAGAAAAAUACCCUGAUACUUGCCAUUGUUAAACAUUUAUGGAAGCUUAAGGAAUUAUUUGGUUAGGCUAAAAACAUUUUUUUUUUUUUUUUUUGCAGAUCAAACAUUUUUUGCCUGGGGUGAAAAUAAAAAUCAAUGAUGCAAAGUCUUCUGCCUUUGGUUUAUUUGAC
rnacentral:lncRNA from 1 species